UAAAGCACUUUCAGUGGGGAGGGAAGGGUUUGGUGCUAAUAUCAUCAAACAUUGACGUUACCUACAGAAGAAGCACCGGCUAACUCUGUGC
rnacentral:rRNA from 1 species